rnacentral:rRNA from 1 species
GACACAGGUGGUCAGGUAGAGAAUACCAAGGCGUUUGAGAGAACUCGGGUGAAGGAACUAGGCAAAAUGGUGCCGUAACUUCGGGAGAAGGCACGCUGAUAUGUAGGUGAAGUCCCUCGCGGAUGGAGCUGAAAUCAGUCGAAGAUACCAGCUGGCUGCAACUGUUUAUUAAAAACACAGCACUGUGCAAACACGAAAGUGGACGUAUACGGUGUGACGCCUGCCCGGUGCCGGAAGGUUAAUUGAUGGGGUCAGCGCAAGCGAAGCUCUUGAUCGAAGCCCCGGUAAACGGCGGCCGUAACUAUAACGGUCCUAAGGUAGCGAAAUUCCUUGUCGGGUAAGUUCCGACCUGCACGAAUGGCGUAAUGAUGGCCAGGCUGUCUCCACCCGAGACUCAGUGAAAUUGAACUCGCUGUGAAGAUGCAGUGUACCCGCGGCAAGACGGAAAGACCCCGUGAACCUUUACUAUAGCUUGACACUGAACAUUGAGCCUUGAUGUGUAGGAUAGGUGGGAGGCUUUGAAGUGUGGACGCCAGUCUGCAUGGAGCCGACCUUGAAAUACCACCCUUUAAUGUUUGAUGUUCUAACGUGGACCCGUGAUCCGGGUUGCGGACAGUGUCUGGUGGGUAGUUUGACUGGGGCGGUCUCCUCCUAAAGAGUAACGGAGGAGCACGAAGGUUGGCUAAUCCUGGUCGGACAUCAGGAGGUUAGUGCAAUGGCAUAAGCCAGCUUGACUGCGAGCGUGACGGCGCGAGCAGGUGCGAAAGCAGGUCAUAGUGAUCCGGUGGUUCUGAAUGGAAGGGCCAUCGCUCAACGGAUAAAAGGUACUCCGGGGAUAACAGGCUGAUACCGCCCAAGAGUUCAUAUCGACGGCGGUGUUUGGCACCUCGAUGUCGGCUCAUCACAUCCUGGGGCUGAAGUAGGUCCCAAGGGUAUGGCUGUUCGCCAUUUAAAGUGGUACGCGAGCUGGGUUUAGAACGUCGUGAGACAGUUCGGUCCCUAUCUGCCGUGGGCGCUGGAGAACUGAGGGGGGCUGCUCCUAGUACGAGAGGACCGGAGUGGACGCAUCACUGGUGUUCGGGUUGUCAUGCCAAUGGCACUGCCCGGUAGCUAAAUGCGGAAGAGAUAAGUGCUGAAAGCAUCUAAGCACGAAACUUGCCCCGAGAUGAGUUCUCCCUGACCCUUUAAGGGUCCUGAAGGAACGUUGAAGACGACGACGUUGAUAGGCCGGGUGUGUAAGCGCAGCGAUGCGUUGAGCUAACCGGUACUAAUGAACCGUGAGGCUUAACCUU